rnacentral:rRNA from 1 species
UACGGGGGGGGCAAGCGUUGUUCGGAAUUACUGGGCGUAAAGAGCGUGUAGGCGGCCCGGUAAGUCCGCUGUGAAAGUCGGGGGCUCAACCCUCGAAUGCCGGUGGAUACUGUCGGGCUAGAGUGCGGAAGAGGCGAGUGGAAUUCCUGGUGUAGCGGUGAAAUGCGCAGAUAUCAGGAGGAACACCAAUUGCGAAGGCAGCUCGCUGGGACGUAACUGACGCUGAGACGCGAAAGCGUGGGGAGCAAACAGG